AGCGAACGCUGGCGGCAGGCUUAAUACAUGCAAGUCGAGCGCCUGUAGCAAUACAGGAGCGGCAGACGGGAGAGUAACACGUGGGAACGUGCCCUUUGGUUCGGAACAAGACAGGGAAACUGGUGCUAAUACCGGAUAAGCCCCUACGGGGAAAGAUUUAUCGCCAAAGGAUCGGCCCGCGUCUAAUUAGCUAGUUGGUGGGGUAAUGGCCCACCAAGGCGACGAUCAGUAGCUGGUCUGAGAGGAUGAUCAGCCUCAUUGGGACUGAGACACGGCCCAAACUCCUACGGGAGGCAGCAAUAGGGAAUAUUGGACAAUGGGGGCAACCCUGAUCCAGCCAUGCCGCGUGAGUGAUGAAGGCCUUAGGGUUGUAAAGCUCUUUCGGCGGGGAAGAUAAUGACGGUACCCGCAUAAGAAGCCCCGGCUAACUUCGUGCCAGCCGCCGCAGUAACAC
rnacentral:rRNA from 1 species